UACGUAGGGGGCAAGCGUUGUCCGGAAUCAUUGGGCGUAAAGCGCGUGUAGGCGGCUUGGUAAGUCCGCUCUGAAAGCCCGGGGCUCAACCCCGGGAGGCGGGUGGAUACUGUCAAGCUCGAGUCCGGAAGAGGCGAGUGGAAUUCCUGGUGUAGCGGUGAAAUGCGCAGAUAUCCGGAAGAACACCGGUGGCGAAGGCGGUGAGCUGGGCAAUUGCUGACACUGAGGCGCGACAGCGUGGGGAGCAAACAGG
rnacentral:rRNA from 1 species